rnacentral:rRNA from 1 species
UACGAACUGUGCAAACGUUAUUCGGAAUCACUGGGCUUAAAGGGUGCGUAGGAGGGCAGGUAAGUCAGUGGUGAAAUCCCCGAGCUUAACUUGGGAACUGCCGUUGAUACUAUCUGUCUUGAAUACCGUGGAGGUGAGCGGAAUAUGUCAUGUAGCGGUGAAAUGCUUAGAUAUGACAUAGAACACCAAUUGCGAAGGCAGCUCGCUACACGAAUAUUGACUCUGAGGCACGAAAGCGUGGGGAUCAAACAGG